UUUUGAGGGCUGCGGGUUUGGAUACACAAACGGCGCAAAUGGAUAAUUUUAGGCUUGCGAAACAACGCGGUACGGCUGUUGAAUCAGGUUAUAAAUCUCGCUGCAAUUUCUCAAAUUCAUGCCUUUUAAUCAAGCCUAAGAUUGAGUUUCAUCUUGCAUAUGAGCUACAAGGAUCAAAGAGCCAUGGUUAAGGGAUUUGGAACAAUUUAGAACACAAAAAGGGAUGUUGUAUGCUAUUCUUUUGUUCUUUUUCAAAUAGUUUUUCAUCUUUUCCUGGAUUUGGAAGAAAAUCUAGAUGAAAGAUGAUAAACAACAAUGAAUAUUGUUAUUGUCUAAUUUCAUUGCAAUAUUUGUUUUCUACUGUUUCUAAACUUGAAUUCUUGAAUGAUAAUUGCAGGGUAAGGGAAUGAGUAGUUUCCGUACGAGAAGGAACAAGACUCACACGCUCUGUGUUAGGUGUGGUUGUCGCAGUUUCCAUCUCCAGAAGAGUCCUUGCCCAACAUGUGCUUAUCAAGAUAACUGGAAUGAGAAGCUAUUAGGAUGCCUCGCAGAUUCAAGAGUGGAUUUAGAGAAGCUAAAU